rnacentral:rRNA from 1 species
GACGAACGCUGGCGGCGUGCCUAAUACAUGCAAGUUGAGCGCUGAAGGUUGGUACUUGUACCAACUGGAUGAGCAGCGAACGGGUGAGUAACGCGUGGGGAAUCUGCCUUUGAGCGGGGGACAACAUUUGGAAACGAAUGCUAAUACCGCAUAAAAACUUUAAACACAAGUUUUAAGUUUGAAAGAUGCAAUUGCAUCACUCAAAGAUGAUCCCGCGUUGUAUUAGCUAGUUGGUGAGGUAAAGGCUCACCAAGGCGAUGAUACAUAGCCGACCUGAGAGGGUGGUCGGCCACAUUGGGACUGAGACACGGCCCAAACUCCUACGGGAGGCAGCAGGAGGGAAUCUUCGGCAAUGGACGAAAGUCUGACCGAGCAACGCCGCGUGAGUGAAGAAGGUUUUCGGAUCGUAAAACUCUGUUGGUAGAGAAGAACGUUGGUGAGAGUGGAAAGCUAAUCAAGUGACGGUAACUACCCAGAAAGGGACGGCUAACUACGUG